CACUACUUGUAGACUUCAUUACUGUGAUAUUUUACCCAAAAGGUAUCAAAACGUUCAAGUUUAUUUGCCUAAUAUAAGAGAGGCAAUCGUGUAACACAUUAAUCACAUUAAUAAAUCUAAAACCCCGCCAACUUGGCUUCUUACUUGAAUGUGUAUAAGGCACUUUUAUAAGUCACACCCGACAUGGCUUAUCCAAUAAUAUUCAACAAAUAACAACACCAAAAUCAAGCUGACAUGCUAAUACUUAUUACUUGAUUACCAGCUUUGCUGACCGACCGGGGGUAUUCCUGCUACCUUAUUCAAAAGUCUAAAUACUAAAUACUCAUAAUUGUUUUAGCAUUCCAUUCUUUCCAAACCUCCCUACUAAAAUCGUAUGAGGAUAUGGAUUUUCUAGCUGCUACUUCAUACCUGCCUACUUGUGAAAUAUAAUUUGUGAGUUCUAACAUCACAUAGUUACAUAGUUACAUAGCUGAAAAGAGACUUGCUUCCAUCAAGUUCAGACUUCCUCACAUAUGUUUUUGCGAUUGAUCCAAAAUAAGGAAAUAAACCCAGUCUGAAGCACUUCCAAUUUUGCAUCAAACAAUGAAAAAUCCCUUCUUGAACCCAAAAUGGCAGUCAGAUAUCUCUUUGAAUCAAGCAGCUAUUACCCCGCUAAUUAGAAAUUAUAUCCCUGUAUGUUAUGUUUUUCGAAAUAUUUAUAUAAUUGCUGUUUAAACAUCUCUAUGGACUCUGAUAAAACCCACCUCUUCAGGCAGAGAAUUCCAUAUCCUUAUUGUAAAAAAAAACCUUUUCCUUAGAUGAAAUCUCCUUUCUUCCAGCCUAAAUGUGUGACAUUGUGUCCUAUGUAUAACCCCGUUUAUGAAUAGAUUUCCAGCUAAUGGUUUGUACCAGCCUGAAUAUAUUUGUAGAAUGUUAUCAUAUCCCCUCUGAGGCGCCGUUUUUCCAAACUAAAGUUAUUUACAUUUUUUGACUAUAGAAAGGGUUUUAGUUUUCAACCAAUUUUUAGCUAUUAAUGAUAAGGCAGCUAUGAGAAUGUGGAACAUCAAAUAUCUAAUAGGUUUAGAAUACUGCUCUUUAAAAAAUACUGGUCGACAUAGGCUUUUUGACAGGAAUCGAUUGUACACAGAAUUUCUCGAAGUCGGUCAGUUGAUGCUCGUUUACAGAAAUUAAAUCUAUCACAAGAUAUGCAUGAGUAUUGCACCAAGAUCUAAUCUGCAAACAUAAAAAAAGUGCUGCGCUCGGCAGUGUAUAUAAUCGUUCCAAUUGUGAAGAUGUUAAUAUUUUACCUUCAUAAUAAAACAUAUGUGAAUACAAGAUCCCACAACGGUUCCAUAACCUAUAAUCAAAAUCCGGUAUUAGAACCCAUAGUGCCCUGAUAGGUGUAACUAGAGAGAUAGGGGGGCAACUGCACAAAGCAUGCUAUUGUAGUAGGUAAUGUAUUAAUAAACUGUGGUCUGUGUAAUGGUGUCAGCCACAUUAUAUCUGAAUUGUGCAUUCCAAGUGUGUAAUGUUUUUCAAUUGUCACCCACUGCGGUAGAUGUUGUUGUUGAGGGGCAGACACUAAACUAUUCAAGAGUGCCGCUUUAUAAUGCAAACGGAUGUUUGUAAGGCUCCUACCGCCUUUUUCAAUGGGCAAAUAUAGUGUAGUCAGUGCAAUCCUAGACCUUUUGCCUUACCAAACAAAGGAGUUUAUAUUUUGUUGAAAUAAGUGAAAAUAAGAUUGUGGAAUAAUAAUGGGAACUGUUCAAAAUAAAUAUUGCAAUUUUUGUACUAUGAUCAUUUUGACCAUGCCUAUUCAUCCAGACAAAGAUAUAAAUGUUUUAUGCCAAUUAUGUAAUAUGGUAUAAAUUUCUUUACUAAGUUUCACAUAGUUUUUGGUAAGGAAGCUGUACUCCCCAAAAAGUCAGGUGGUCAGUUCUCCAUUCAUAUUUAUAUUGAUUUUGAUUUUUAACAAAGUUAAAUUUAACUUUGUUAAAAAAGUGAACUUUAAAGCAACCGUUUAGUAGAUAGCUCCCUAAUGGUACCUUUAUGUGAGAUUACCAUUUUAAGGAUACCAAAAUUAGAAAGCUAUCUGCCAAACAGUUGAAAGUUCAAAAUUAAGGGGAAAAUAGCCCUUUUCCUAAUUUUAAUGUUUUAGUUGACUAAUAGAGAAGUUCCCAAUUUGCUAUGCAUAUGAAAAUAAAUGGAUACCAAUACUUGUGAAUUUCAAAAUUCAUCCAAAUUUAGAUGAAAUGUGUUUGCUGAAUGAAACAAAUACAAAUGUGUAGUGCAGGGGUGCCAAAAUGGUAGAUCCCAGACGGUGUAAAACUACAACUCUCAUGAUAAUUUGCAUGCCUUUAUAACAGCAUAAAGAAAGCUGCAGUUUUAAUCUGGGGAUCUACCGUUUGGGCACCCCUGGUCUAGUGGGAGUGGGUGACUGAAUGGGGUGUCACUUUUAAUUAUAGAACUAAAUGUAUUUAUUCUGAUUAGAAC